CUCUUGCCUCGGCAAGGGGUAGAACCCAGGAAACAUUUCACCCAGUGGAAGGUUUAUUAUGAUGCUAAACACACCUUCGAUUGUAAGAAAAAAUUCCUAGGAAAAACGACAUGAUACACAUGUUGAUGAAUCCACGAAAGCUCGGUAGAGUGAAUGUUUAACAUCCAAACACUUUUUUGGAGGAAGGGACCUGUGCUACCGUCACGUUUUCCGAACUCUAAAUAAAACAGAAGGAACUUAGGGCUGACAUCUUCAACGUCACCAUGAGUCAAAGCCAACAUCUUGCUUUCUACGGCUUUGUUUAAAGAAACAGGUCUAUAGGUCCAAUCUAAGAAUGAAAAUAUUGAUCAAGAAAAAUAAUAACUUUCAUGACCGAAAAAUAAAAAUAAAGUAUAAUAUAUACAGAUAUAU